rnacentral:rRNA from 1 species
UACAGAGGUCUCAAGCGUUGUUCGGAUUCAUUGGGCGUAAAGGGUGCGUAGGCGGCGCGGUAAGUCGGGUGUGAAAUCUUGGAGCUUAACUCCGAAACUGCAUUCGAUACUGCCGUGCUUGAGGACUGGAGAGGAGACUGGAAUUUACGGUGGUAGCAGUGAAAUGCGUAGAUAUCGUGAGGAAGACCAGUGGACGGAAGGCGGAUCUCUGGGACAGUUCCUGACGCUGAGGCGCGAAGGCCAGGGGAGCAAACGGGG